UCCGUCAGCAUUUGGGGAAGAGGCCGAGGAGGUCUUUCAAAUUAGGUUUGAGUUAUCUCCUCCAUACGUUUUAAUCGGAGCAAAAGUGGCUUGCGCGUUGUAAACAAAAGUAAUUACGGCAGACGGGGAUCCGUGUCGCAAAUGAGACGUUUCCGCCUCCCACGGACCAGUCUGAAGUGCCACGAAGCAGAACGGUUUAAUUAGGGGGAGACGGCACCGCAAAUAUUGCAGGGGAUGGGAGACAAAGACAAUAAUCUUUUUGCCUGACUCAACGUGCUAAACGGCAGAUAGCAGCAGCCUUGGCGUCCACUCAACUCCGUGCACUUGGGGCUGCUUGGCCAGAGAGGGAAGAAGGUCUUUGCUGGAGCUUCUUUAAUACAUCGCGUACAGUAUGACGUGUCAUGAACGUGGGACGGUUUCUCAUUAGCCGCCACUUCCAGACAGCCUGAAGCAAAUCUACAGACAGCAACUCGGCAUCAAUUAGUAAAGAGAUCACACUUCUUCAAACCAUACGCAGAAUGUCGACACGUCCUUCGUACUUCUUUCAUCGACAAGCCCUUCAUCCCUAAAUCCCAGCUGGAAUUCUCUCGCAGGUUCUGCCACUUUCUCACUGCAGACGGGUACAAAAGAAGAGCCAAUAAUUAAGCGCUGAAGUCUAGACCGGUUUUCUGAACAAGGCCACAAGCAAAUUUACCCAGUGACACCUGCUGCCAGUUGCUGAGCUUUCCAUUGGACUGUUAAUCAGUUCCCCAACUUGCGGUGAGGCGCCAAGACCUUGCAGAGGCGUGUUGUAUGAGCCUCUGUGAUUUUCAGGCCACAAAUAGACCUCUAGUCUAUUAUAAGGAUAACAAGGCAUUUUGAUUGCUGCAAAUCAUUGCAUCCACAGAGCAUUAGAUCUGAAAUGACAGCACGGCAUGCAACAGCCCUCCCAAUUAGCGAGGCUUCACUAUCC